AGUGAACGCUGGCGGUAGGCCUAACACAUGCAAGUCGAACGGCAGCACAGUAAGAGCUUGCUCUUACGGGUGGCGAGUGGCGGAUGGGUGAGGAAUACAUCGGAAUCUACUUUUUCGUGGGGGAUAACGUAGGGAAACUUACGCUAAUACCGCAUACGACCUACGGGUGAAAGCAGGGGAUCUUCGGACCUUGCGCGUUUGAAUGAGCCGAUGUCGGAUUAGCUAGUUGGCGGGGUAAAGGCCCACCAAGGCGACGAUCCGUAGCUGGUCUGAGAGGAUGAUCAGCCACACUGGAACUGAGACACGGUCCAGACUCCUACGGGAGGCAGCAGUGGGGAAUAUUGGACAAUGGGCGCAAGCCUGAUCCAGCCAUACCGCGUGGGUGAAGAAGGCCUUCGGGUUGUAAAGCCCUUUUGUUGGGAAAGAAAAGCAGCAGGUUAAUACCCCGCUGUUCUGACGGUACCCAAAGAAUAAGCACCGGCUAACUUCGUG
rnacentral:rRNA from 1 species